GGUCUCGUGGUGAAGCGGUAACACAUCCUCAGUCAAUAUGUUGGACCAGAUUGUCUAUGAGGAAGUCCCUUGUUCGAACCAAGGUGAGGCCA